rnacentral:rRNA from 1 species
AUUGAACGCUGGCGGCAGGCCUAACACAUGCAAGUCGAACGGCAGCACAGAAGAGCUUGCUCUUUGGGUGGCGAGUGGCGGACGGGUGAGUAAUGUCUGGGAAACUGCCCGAUGGAGGGGGAUAACUACUGGAAACGGUAGCUAAUACCGCAUAACGCCGCAAGACCAAAGUGGGGGACCUUCGGGCCUCACACCAUCGGAUGUGCCCAGAUGGGAUUAGCUAGUAGGUGGGGUAAUGGCUCACCUAGGCGACGAUCCCUAGCUGGGCUGAGAGGAUGACCAGCCACACUGGAACUGAGACACGGUCCAGACUCCUACGGGAGGCAGCAGUGGGGAAUAUUGCACAAUGGGCGCAAGCCUGAUGCAGCCAUGCCGCGUGUAUGAAGAAGGCCUUCGGGUUGUAAAGUACUUUCAGCGGGGAGGAAGGCGGUGAGGUUAAUAACCUUGCCGAUUGACGUUACCCGCAGAAGAAGCACCGGCUAACUCCGUGCCAGCAGCCGCCGUAA